AGAGUUUGAUCAUGGCUCAGGACGAACGCUGGCGGCGUGCUUAACACAUGCAAGUCAAGGAGAACGUUUUCUUCGGAAAAUUAUUAAACUGGCGAACGGGUGAGUAACGCGUAGGCAACCUGCCCUAGAGAUUGGGAUAACCCCGGGAAACCGGGACUAAUACCGAAUAAUGCAGCGGAUCCUUUGGGAUACAGUUGUUAAAGUGGGCUUCGGCUCACACUUUAGGAUGGGCCUGCGUCUGAUUAGCUUGUUGGUGAGGUAAUGGCUCACCAAGGCGAUGAUCGGUAGCUGGUUUGAGAGGAUGAUCAGCCACACUGGGAUUGAGAUACGGCCCAGACUCCUACGGGAGGCAGCAGUGGGGAAUUUUGCGCAAUGGGGGAAACCCUGACGCAGCAACGCCGCGUGACCGAUGAAGCUUCUAGGAGCGUAAAGKUCUGUCGUAAGGGAAGAAAAGUUUGGAUAUAAAUAAUGUUCGAACCUGACGGUACCUUACAAGAAAGCACCGGCUAACUUAGUGCCAGCAGCCGCGGUAAUACUAGGGGUGCAAGCGUUGUCCGGAAUCAUUGGGCGUAAAGGGUCCGUAGGCGUCUCAAUAAGUCACUUGUUAAAGACACCGGCUUAACCGGUGGAAUGCAUAUGAAACUGUUGAGAUAGA
rnacentral:rRNA from 1 species